UGCCAGCGGUCCGGCCGGGAACUCAAAGGAGACUGCCAGUGAUAAACUGGAGGAAGGUGGGGAUGACGUCAAGUCAUCAUGGCCCUUACGACCAGGGCUACACACGUGCUACAAUGGCGCAUACAAAGAGAAGCGACCUCGCGAGAGCAAGCGGACCUCAUAAAGUGCGUCGUAGUCCGGAUUGGAGUCUGCAACUCGACUCCAUGAAGUCGGAAUCGCUAGUAAUCGUGGAUCAGAAUGCCACGGUGAAUACGUUCCCGGGCCUUGUACACACCGCCCGUCACACCAUGGGAGUGGGUUGCAAAAGAAGUAGGUAGCUUAACCUUCGGGAGGGCGCUUACCACUUUGUGAUUCAUGACUGGGGUGAAGUCGUAACAAGGUAACCGUAGGGGAACCUGCGGUUGGAUCACCUCCUUACCUUAAAGAA
rnacentral:rRNA from 2 species